rnacentral:lncRNA from 13 species
AUUUGAUAAGACUUAGACCUUGCUUCUGCUCUUUACGUGUAGAGAAUUGGUUAUCACAAACACUUGCUUUGGAGACCAGAGGACACAGAGAAGGCCGAGUUUUUCCUGUUCAGCCAUUCUGUUUCACAGUGGUUUCACAGAGGAAAUAAUAACUGCUGCAGUGACCUAGCAGUUUCUACUCCAUGCAAGUCUAAGUAAUUCAGAGGGGACGCUGCACAUCAGUCAUUGUUUUGUCUCUAAGAUUCAGUGGUAAAGAAGCACCUAUAUAUUCAAGAGAAAAGAAAGUAGAGGCAUGAAUUCGGAGAAUUAUUUAAGCCCAAUCCUCCAUGUGCUGAAUGAAAAUCACAGGCUCCAACAAAAUUACAGAUAUGCCAUUCUUUGCAGGUGGGAAAUUGAUGUUUGCAAGAUACGUGCCACAGCUCCAGGCAUCACGUCCACAUUAAAGGCAGAUAAAAGAGAAGAUGAGCAGCAAGAUCGCCGACCAUUUCUUUUAUAUAUUAAAGAAAAAGCUGUUUCAGAAGCCACUGCCUUUUCCACAGCAAACUUCUAGAUAAGUCUCAGUGCCAGAUCUGGAAUUUAUGGCCAUUCCUAGAGAUUUGCCAUUCUCACCUUUUCUCCAUCUUCUGGUUUGAAAUCCGACCUCUCCAGAAUGAUUUUUCAUUUGCUUGUGUCCGUAGCCCCAGAGUUAUCACCAAUCUGUGAUCAUUCUGCCUGUGGUGAGUUUUGGGGAAUGGUUUCUGGCGUAACUGGGUAAUGUAAAUCCAAACCAUAAACUUGUUUUUUAAAGACAAGUUUAUGUUAAUAAAUUCUGAGAGGAGACUCCGUAGCCA